AGGACGUUGAUAGGUUGGGUGUGGAAGGGUGGUAACACUUGAAGCUAACCAAUACUAAUUGCUCGUGAGGCUUGACUCU
rnacentral:rRNA from 1 species